rnacentral:lncRNA from 1 species
UCCCAUGCUCUCCAUUCUCUCUUCUUUCUCUCUCAUCAUGUAAACUCUUCAAGCUUUCAAGCUUUCUUCAAGCUUUCCUACCCCUGUCUAUUGUAAGAUAUUUCUCCUUGUGUAUAAUAUAAGUAUGUUUUGAUUACCUCCUAUAUGGAUGGUUUUUAAUUAUGUUUUGUUUUUCAUUUUAUUUUAUGUUCUUGUACUGCCUAUAUGGUCGGUUUUAAUUAAGCUUUGUUUUUAAGUUUAUGUCUUUUAUUUUGUACCGCCUACAUGGUCGGUUUUAAGCUUAUUAUGAACUAACAAGUUUUUGGUUCCUUCUCUUUAAAUUUCUUUAUUGGAUAUCUUUUGUAUUUUCUAACCCUCUUCUUUGUUUUGAAUCAUGGCAUAAUUCCGAUUUUCUGGAAAUCUUGAGGGGUCUUAGCUGCUGCAAGCAUGGCUUGUAACUGUUGCUUUUUAAGGAGAAACUGAGACAUAUCAUCACUGGCUGAGACUUGUGUGGGAUUUUGGAGGAAAUACUGCUUAACUGUAUCAAUAGAUGCGUCAUUUUUUAAGGCAUCCCACCAUUUAGUUUUAAAGGUCCUUCCAAGAGAUGGAAAGGCUGCUGAUUCAUCUGUAAUGAUAAUAUAGUCCCACUGGACUAUCCAAGCAAGGCCAAAUUUGCUGAAGAAGAAUAGUAAAGGGGGAAAAGCUGAAAGUUCUCUAGGGAUAUCAUUAUCUGAAUCAGUCCUUGAUUCAGAGUCUGAGUUUAACAUUACCUUACAAAGCAUAUUUUUUAGGUCAUCUGAGACACUUAAGUUGUUAAUCUUUUGCUUAACUCUACAAUUUUUUUUAUAAUGGCCAACUUUGCCACAUUUAAAACAGAUAAUUGGCUUGAUGUCUAAAGGAGUUUCU